GUGCGAACAUGUAGGGUGUGAAAAUGAAAGGGGGCGAACAUGAGUGGGCGCAAACGUGAAUGGGCGCGAACGGACCCGAAUUCAGACUAUGUACCAGUGAGAAAUAUACAAGCCUUUCUACGGUAUUUAUUUGUACAAUUCAGGUAGUCUUGACCUAUUCAUUUGUCUUAAAAAAAACAGCCAGUUGUCACCUUCACUUCACACACACACAUAUACAAAUAUCAAUUAUAUGCUUACGAG
rnacentral:lncRNA from 1 species